ensembl:lncRNA
UUGGGACAGUGGCGCUGCACAGGGAGAUGUUGAAGAUGUUCGUGAGAACAUCUGUCAGCUGGUCUGACAGGAAAAGACAUGCCAACUGGAAAGACAGGCCGAGAAGUGGGCGUCCCAAGAAGUUCCUUAUACACCAAAUGAGUAAGUAGAAGAAUACGCUGAGAGGAUUUGGUGAAAUUUUUAUGGGUGCAAUCCACAUACUUAGCUCUGCUGCUCAUCCCACAAAUGCAUGUUCCUUACAAAUAUGGCAUCAUUUAAAAGAAAAAUUAACAUGCUUUCAAAUAUAUAAGAUGUAUUGCCAAGAAGCAAACAAAUAAUCUACCCAACAAAAAUCUCCUUACUUUUUGUGCUAUGUUGAGUUUUUUUGUUUCUUCUAGCAACUAUUAGACACGUUAUCUAUAGUCCAGACUUAACUUCCUGCAUGCAAAUGACUGAGGCUGCAAAAUGAGCCUUUCCUGUUGGGCCUGUGUGAGCAGUAGGGCUACACCCACAUGUGCAUGGUUUAUGUUUAUCAGUUUACAAAUGCAGGAAGAAGAAAGGCUCAUGUAGAAGUUUUACAACCGAUAACCAAAUGAUGUGAGCUGCUAGGCCUGUGAAAGCUUGCAAAGCUGUGUGAGAGGAGGAACACUCUGGAUGGGAGCUAAAGGACAGCACACUACUGGGAGCUACUUUGAACAUUAUUUCUGUUAGAUUACUUUGUUGAAGGGUGUGCUUGUGGGAAAGCAGCCCCAGCUAAGCUGCACGAUCAGCAGGUUUAAACAUAUCUUCAUGAAUCUUCUCAGACAGCUUUUUCUUUUUUUUUUUUGCUUUUUUUUCUUUUGACAACAUAAUUGCAAACUGUGUGAUGUGCUAUAUGAGCUAAUCCCCAACUGGAAAUGAGGAAAACAUGGUUCAGGACGUUGCUGCUGAACUUUUUAUGUUUUUAUGCAUGUCAAGCUAAAACAUGUGUAGUUGGAAUGUUGGGGGAAUCUGUCUCUAUUCCCUGUCUUUAUAAUGGACCAGAGGAUUUGACCACUUUAAACAUUUCAUUUGAAUGGAGAAGAGGCUCUGAGGUGGUCUACAAAGCUGUGUGGAGAGGGGGACAUGAGGAAAGACUCGAAGUGGACUUCAAUAGCAGGAGCACAGUGUCCUCUCUGGCACAAACUGGAAAUUUCACGUUGAAGUUAAAUGACAUCCGUUUUCCAGAUGCCCAGAAUUACAGUCUAUAUUUAAAGCGUCUGGACCGUGGAGCUAAUGCUUCAAUAUGCACUGUCUGCCUGAGUGUUGCAGCUCAUUUUACUCCACCUGUGUUGAUGAGAACGGGUGGGAAAGAGGGAGAAGCAACUCGAUUGGUUUGCCAGUCUCAGGGCGGUUUUCCUGAACCUGCAGUUCACUGGUAUAUCCACCACACUCAGCAUCCCCCAGCGGACACAGUCAGUACACAUACAAGCACUCUUCCCCAUUCUAAACUCUACAACGUCACCAGCAUUCUUUAUACUGCCAUUCCACGAGACACCACCGUAUCCUGUGCCAUAGAAAACCACCUGCUGAAUGAAACUCUGACCACAAUCAGCUAUGACGUUGGGUCCAUUCACUCACAUGGAUUCGUAUGGAUUCUCAGCGUCAUUCUUUGUGUGAUAGUGACUGUGCUGGUCUUAAUAGCUCUGUGUUACCAGAAGAAAUGGGACAGAGACAGAAGAAGAGAACGUGAAGAUGAUUCAGUCUGUGAGGAAACAGAAAUGAUCAUGCUGGACAUGGACGCCAUGGACGGGCAACUUAACAUAGACUAAUCUGACACUGAUGACUGGCCACAACACCACUACUGCACUGCUGGAC